rnacentral:misc_RNA from 1 species
UAACAAGGUUUCCGUAGGUGAACCUGCGGAAGGAUCAUUACCUAGAGUUUGUGGGCUUUGCCUGCUAUCUCUUACCCAUGUCUUUUGAGUACUUACGUUUCCUCGGUGGGUUCGCCCGCCGAUUGGACAAUUUAAACCCUUUGCAGUUGCAAUCAGCGUCUGAAAAACAUAAUAGUUACAACUUUCAACAACGGAUCUCUUGGUUCUGGCAUCGAUGAAGAACGCAGCGAAAUGCGAUAAGUAGUGUGAAUUGCAGAAUUCAGUGAAUCAUCGAAUCUUUGAACGCACAUUGCGCCCCUUGGUAUUCCAUGGGGCAUGCCUGUUCGAGCGUCAUUUGUACCUUCAAGCAUUGCUUGGUGUUGGGUGUUUGUCUCGCCUUUGCGUGUAGACUCGCCUUAAAACAAUUGGCAGCCGGCGUAUUGAUUUCGGAGCGCAGUACAUCUCGCGCUUUGCACUCAUAACGACGACGUCCAAAAGUACAUUUUAACACUCUUGACCUCGGAUCAGGUAGGGAUACCCGCUGAACUUAAGCAUAUCAAUAA